rnacentral:lncRNA from 10 species
UGAUGACUGUGGGAGGGUAGGUACCACCUCACUACGUUUAAGGAGUGCGAGUGAGUGUGGGUAAUGCAAGGGAGGGUGGGAAUGACUCUAGUGAGUGGGUAACUUUGGAGUAAGAAUGGGUAUCAUUUGGAUAGCACAGGUAACAUCUGACUAGUGCGAAAGAGGUGGAUAUCUUUAUCUGAGUUAACUAACUUGUGGGUUACAUCUGAGUGGGUGUGGUUAACGUCUGGGUGCCCGUGGCUCAUUUAUUCAUCUUACAGAUAUUUAUUGCAUACCUACUAUGUUCCAGGAGCUGGGGAUAUGGAAGGGAGUAAACUCAAUAAAAAUCCCUGCCUUCAUGGCACUCAGAGUAAGUGGGUAAUAUUUGAAUUACUUGGAGACAUCAGAGUGAGCGUAGGUAGCAUUUGAGUACAUGUGGGUAACAGCUGAAUGAUCAUAAAAUCUGGUUGAGUGUGGAUUGCUCAUUCAUCCAUGUAUCCAUGCAACCAACAAAAUUUCCUGAGGACCUACAGUGUGCCAGGCACUGGGGAUACAGAAGGGGAAUAAACAGACCAAAACCUUGCCCGUGACUCUCAUAGUAGCUAUUUGAGUAGGUGCGGGUAACAUUUGGGUUACUUGAAUACACGUUAGUGAGUGUGGGUAGCAUUAGAGUGUGUGGGUGGCAUCCGCGUAUAAUUGAAAGUAGUUGUGGGUAAUAUUUGAGAGUGUGCGGGUAACACCUGAAUAUGUGUAUGGGUAUCAUUUGAGUAGAUGAGAGUAAUUUCUAAGCGAGGAAGGGUCUCAAAGACCCACAAAUAUCUUCCGCUACUCGGGAGACCCCGCGGGACCAGCCGCGCAGGCGCAGUCAGAGCCAGAACCUAGCAGCGCGUCCGACCGUUGCUAUGGAGACCACAGGCUGACCCCAGGCGCCUGCGCCCUUUGCAGAAAAUGGAGGAGGUGGAAACGGUCCUGGAUUCCAAGGUUUUGCAGAUCUCUUACUGGAGUUGAAGAAAACUCACGCAGACCCAGGAGGAACGUGUCAGGGAGAUCCCUACUCGGGAGAAGGGCCGCCAUCCUCCUUCGGCUGUCACCCACGGCCUGAUUCUGGGGACAGCCUCUCUUGCUGGGGGGAGGCGGGCGGCACGGACCCCUCUAGCUUUGCGCCCUCCUGGAAAUCCUGUUAUUGCAAAGUCUAGAGCCGUUUUCUGUGUUUCAAAAGCAUGUACCUUGAAUGUACCUCUGGCACAAACUUGUUCGGAGUGGGCCACCCUGUUUUGCGCAUGUCAAGCAGAAACCAUGGCUGAGAGUGAGUUGCCUGCUCCCCACCUCUGAGGAACUCACUGAUCUGUAAGCGGCUCUUGAAAAGCUGUCGUCUUUCUCUACACGCUGAGUCUCUCUUACAGAAGUGGUCAGAAGCGGGACCCUUCUGCCCCGAUUGGCGCCUGGGGUGAGGGUGUGAGUCUCCCCAAGUUAAAUUCCAGAAGCUCUGGCUUGGUGAGGAGGAGUGAACUCCACUCUCUAAAGAAGAGGCAAGGCUUCUGGGCAAUGGUCCAAAAGGAGAUUUUCUGGACCAAAGUGUAUCCUGGGACUCCAAUGCAAGUUGUCAUGCAAAACUGUCACCAUUUGAAGCUACUUAGCUGAGUGAAAACAUCACUGGUAGGGCAAAUCCCAAGCAAAAAUUCACAAGUAAAUUGAAUGUGCCAGCUGUUGGAGGGCUGCAUCUGGCUUCUGUAAACCCCUGAUUUCAAAAGGGGGUUCAGCUAAAACUCUUCAUUGUUCUUUGUGAUUGAGAUGCUCUUUUGUACAAAUAUGAACUCAUAAAAUAAAUGUAUGCUAAUGAAAUCAUAGUCUGCCCCUUGACAUAUGGGGGGAAAUCCAUGUAAGAUUUAAUUUGGAAAAAUGAUGUGGCUGCUAAAACAAGUACUGAAAACUGCUUCCAUGGCCUGAAGUCUUCCAGGACUGCAUUUAUUUUUAUUUUUAUGUACUUAUUUAUUUUUGAGACAGAGUCUCUCUCUGUUGCCCAUGCUGGAGUGCAGUGGCGUGAUCUUGACUCACUGCAAGCUCCGCCUCCCGGGUUCACACUAUUCUCCUGCCUCAGCCUCCCAAGUAGCUGGGACUACAGGCACCUGCCACCACACCUGGCUAAUUUUUUUGUA